rnacentral:rRNA from 1 species
CUACGGGGGGCACCAGUGGGGAAUCUUGCGCAAUGGGCGAAAGCCUGACGCAGCAACGCCGCGUGCGGGAUGAAGGCCUUCGGGCUGUAAACCGCUUUCAGCAGGAACGAAAAUGACGGUACCUGCAGAAGAAGGAGCGGCCAACUACGUGCCAGCAGCCGCGGUGACACGUAGGCUUCAAGCGUUGUCCGGAUUUAUUGGGCGUAAAGAGCUCGUAGGCGGUUGAGUAAGUCGGGUGUGAAAACUCUGGGCUUAACCCGGAGACGCCAUCCGAUACUGCUCUGACUAGAGUUCAGGAGGGGAGUGGGGAAUUCCUAGUGUAGCGGUGAAAUGCGCAGAUAUUAGGAGGAACACCGGUGGCGAAGGCGCCACUCUGGACUGAAACUGACGCUGAGGAGCGAAAGCAUGGGUAGCAAACAGGAUUAGAUACCCGGGUAGUC